GAGGAGGAGGAGGUUUUGUUUAUCUGGCACCGGUGAAAUGGGUGGGUGGGGAGGGGAGGAAAGGGGUGGGGGGUGGGAAGCCAGGCAGGACGAGUGGCUGAAGGAGCAGCUGCAGUGCAGUGCCAGCAAGCAGAAGCUGAGGUAAAAGAGAGAAAGAGAGAGAAGGGGGAAAAGGGAAAAGAAAAUUAAAAAAGGGAAAAGAGGGGAAGAAAGGGGGGUGGGGUGGGAGGGGGGAGAGAGAAAACAAGGGGAGAGAAGAGAGGUAGGGGAGGAGGAGGAGGGGGGAGAAAGUGAGACGGAGGAGAGAGAGAGAGAGUGAGAGAGAGGGGGGAAGGAGGGAGAGAGAGAAAGGAGGGGGGACGGGAAUGAGUGAGUGAAGCAGCGGAGGGAGGGAGCGAGGCUGACGAGGAGGAGCGAGCGAGGUGGCUGAGCGGGUAGGUGGCUGAGCGAGCGAGCGAGCGGGAGAGAGAGAAGAGGAGGAGGAGGGGGAUAAUUCAGGGAAUUUGCCUCUGUGGCCCCUUCAGCCUCCACUCCCCGCCUUUUUCUUUCCUUUUCCCCUCCCCUCCUCUCCCCUGCCUCUAGUCGUGCGCCUGCUGCUGCAGCUGGUGUCGAGCGGCUGCCUGAGCUGAGGAGAGCUGCUGCUGGUGGCUGUGGCGGUGCUGCUGCUGCUGCUGCUGCUGCUUUCGCGCUCUCAUUCUCUCCCCGUUUACGAGUCUUGUCUGUGGCGCGCUGCCGGGCUAGACUCUCUCUUCAGUCAGGAGUUGCUCUCGCUUGAGCCGCUUCUCUCGCUCCCUCCCUCCUGCGCGCGCACAGGCACUCGCGUGCGCGCGCGCUCGCACAAAAACUCAGGAGCUCGUGGCUUUCGGUUGUGUGGGAAACCGGCUCGCGCUCCUUUCCCCUUCCCUCAGCGACACCCCCAUAACCCAAACAGGGUUUUUUUAAAAAGAGAGAGGGAGGGGGGAGGAGGACAAGAGGGGGCGUGAGGAAAAGGAGGGGGGCAGAGAGAGAGAGAGAUGACAGUUAAAUUAUAUAUAUAUAUCUAUAUCUAUUAAGGCAGGCCUUAGACGGAAGGAUGGGGGUUUGAGCCAAUAGGAGCUCUGGAGUGCUGAGCUCGGAUUGGAGGGUUGAACCAAUCAGAAGAGACUUGUGGAACGGGGGCCCCACGCUGCCCUUAACACCCCUGAACGCAUAGAGAGUAAUAGGUGUCUUUCUUCACUACCACAGGCGGAAAAGCUGCCCUGGGGCAAAAGCUGCUGGGAAAGGAGCACCGCACGCUACACACACAAGCAGAACUCGUGUCCAUAAACAGGGCUGGCUCCAGGUUCGCGCCGGGAGACCUUGUCAACCGCAACCGCAUCUUAAGCGAGCGGGCAAAGUUGGCAGGUCACGCGCUUUCUCUCCUGGGGCAGCGCGGUGGCGAGGGAGAGCAGGUGUGCGAGCGGGGAAAGGGCGGCCGGCUGCCCCUUGCCAGGAGCAGCUGCCUCAGUCAACCUCCCGCUGGCUCGCUUCUCCCGCCGCUGGGAGGUUGGGAAUUGGGGAGUCCAGUCCUCCCCAUGGCGCUGCCCAGAGGAGGGAGGGUGAGCCAGCACAGGGGCAAGUGGUGGUCUUCCCCCCAAAACACACACACACACACACACCGCAUCAGCCGAGGCUUCUUGCUCGCCUUCUCACUCUGGAAGUCUCCUAGUGGGACCCAACACCACCCAAAAGAGGCAGUAAACUGGCAGUAUGCCAAGAUCAUUGGGUCAAUAUUACCCACACUGGCUGGCAGCAUGACUCCCCACCCAGCCUGGAGAUUCUUGCCUUCUUCAUGCAGAACAUGCACAGUGGAUUGUCCCUUCGGCCAGUUCUUCCCAUGCAGUGCCACUUCCUUGGAUCAAGCACUCGCCUGCUUUAACAAGCAACUGCCACCUGCGCCUGGAGUGUGUGUGUGUCCAGGCAGGGGGACCUACAGGAAGCUGCCUUAUAUGCAGAGUGAGACCAGCGUUCCAUCUACCCCAGUACCCUCUACAUGAGCUGGCACUCCCCACGGAUUCGGACAGAAACUUUUCCCAGCUCUACCUGGAGAUGCCAGGGAUUGAACCUGGGACCUUCUGCAUACAAAGCAAAUGCACUACCACCAAACAACCGCUCUUCCCCAAGGGGAGGAGGUGUUAGCGCUGCUACGCUCUGCAGCUCAAAUUGGGCCCAAUGGGGCCACCCAGAGUGAGCAAGCGAGCAAGAAAGCAAGAGCAAAUUGUGCCGCUCUUGACGUUCUUGACGGCAGAAGCCACCACCUCUUUCCUUUCUCUGACACAUGAGGAAGAAUUCAGCUUGCUCAGCUCAGUCACCAUUGCCCAACUCCCCAGGCUGCUGUUGCCCCUGCCUCCCUGCACAUGUAUCCACUUCCUCUGGGCACCUAGGUGUUCGGGUUUGGUCCCAGUCUUCUUUCCUGUGCUGUCCAAAGAAAGAGAGUAAGAUGGCAGGUGCAUCUUGCGUUCUUUCUCUGAACAGACCUGAGGCCCCAGACUAGAGAUCAAGGGCAAGUAAGCAAGAAGAGGUCACAGCAUAUAGAGCUCUCUAGGCUCAGUUCUUCUGCCAUAGCACCACCUAGAAAAAGAAGUCAAGCAAGCAGAAGCAGGAGAAACUUUCCUACCAUGUUUCCUACUGUGUCUUUAUCUGUGCUCUCCCUUUCAGUGGUAGAGCAAACUAAAUCCUUGCACCCACAUCUCUCAGAAGGAGAGGGUAGGUGAGCAGUUGGAGACAGCCGUAGCCAUUCCUUGCUACCCCCACUUGCCCACUUUUGCAGGUCAGUGAGCGGCCCCUUCCCUGUGUCAUCUGCAUGUCAUAUAGCAAGGGGACCCACCUACCCAAGAGCACAUGGUUAGCGCAUGUGAGUUUUCCUGAGGUGCCGGGGCCUCAGUAGCUGCUGGUUGCUGCUAGUUUUGUAAAUAAACACAUGCUUCUCCUGCUCCAGAAACAGCUACAGCUACUGGUUGCUUUACUGCUAAUUUGCCACAUUAACAUUAAAAUAUUAAUCAAGAGGAAGGAGAGCUUAAAAGCAGCCUCAUAAAAAAGGGAAAACACUCUAAUAAUGACUGGAAGCACUAACCUAGUUUUCUUUGGUUGUGGGGCAAGCAAAACAUGAAUUACACGGAGUAGCUUCAGAUUCCUCAGUCGCCUUUGACUAUGUUGCUUCUUGAGGAUUACAGAUACAGUGGUACCUCGGGUUACAGACGCUUCAGGUUACAGACACUUCAGGUGACAGACUCUGCUAACCCAGAAAUAGUACCUCGGGUUAAGAACUUUGCUUCAGGAUGAGAACAGAAAUCGCACAGCAGCAGCAACAGGAGGCCCCAUUAGCUAAAGUGGUACCUCAGGUUAAGAACAGUUUCAGGUUAAGAAUAGACCUCCAGAAUGAAUUAAGUUCUCAACCCUAGGUACCACUGUAUUGUGUACUCUCCAGCAAUUAAACCACAAUAGCUGUCAGUUACAUGUUGAUAAUCAGCACCGUAAAUUAAAAUCUCUUUGCUUAUAAGCAUGCACUUAAAAAGAGAGAAUUAAUCUACCUUUCUAGAACUAUCAGUAAUGUGAGUAUAUCAGUGUUUUUAAGGUCUCACUCACUGGUGGCCCACCAAAUUGGCAAUUGUGCCACUGCAAGCUGUAUCUAAAUAUAAAGCAAUGCCACACUAGUGCAUUCCACAGUACAUAUAGCAUUAGCAUGUCUUCAAGUGGUUUUGUCUAUUUUACUGAGUUGGAGAGCGCACUCAUGCCAUGCGUUGGCUACCAAGUAUAACUAAUCCAAGUUAAGCAGUCCCAAGUACAUAUGCUGGUAACCAUUUUUCCUUCUCACAGUUAAUAUCCUCCAUAUAUUUAGAAGCCACCUUUUAGAAGCCACCUAAACUUGUAGCCAUCACAGUGUUUGGUACCAAUGAAUUUUUUCAAUCAAUUAUGUAUUACAUGGAGUUGCACUAGCACUCUUUGUUUGCCCUGAAUAAACAGCUAGUUAAUGUCAUUGGAUAACUCUGAGUUCUAGUGCUUUGAGAGAGAAUAAUUACCUUUUUCUGUUCACUACCUCCACAACAUUCACAACUGAAUAACUUUCUGUUAUUUUCUUGCUUAUUUGUUCCUUUUUCAAGCAAAAAAGCCUUGCUUUGCAGGAAAAAUGCUUCUUCACUCAUCAUUUUUACUGUCUUCUCCCGAUCGACAUAUCUUUUUCUUUUCUUUUUUUGAGACAGGGCAAAUGUUUGUACCAGAUGUAGGUGUAGCAUAGAUUUAUAUAAUGUCAUUAUAAUAUUUGAUGAAUUAUACAUAGUUUCUUUCCUAGAAAUUCCUGCCACAGAAUUUGCAUAUUUACUGUUGCGGCACACCAACCUGCCAUUUUCACUGAGCUUCUCACCAUUAUCCCAUGGUCUCUUUUCUAGUAAAUUAAAACCAUUUUAGAGCCCAACAGUAUAUAUCAAAAUCAGAAUAAAUUAAUUUUUUAGCCAUAAGCCAUACAAAAUUACAGAUGAAGCUAUGCAAAUUAAAAUAGAACUGGAAAAAGCUAUGAAUCAAUUGUCUAUCAUACUGGUGAAAACAGAAUAAAAUCACAUAGAAAUCAAUACAGUGGUACCUCUGGUUACGAACGCUUCUGGUUACGAACACUUCAGGUUACAAGCUCCACUAACCCAGAAGUAGCUGCUCCUGGUUGCGAACUUUGCCCCAGGAUGCGAACGGAAAUCGCAUGCCAGAGGCACGCGUGCAGCAGGAAACCCCAUUAGCGAAAGCAUGCCUCAGGAUAAGAAUGGUUUCAGCUUAAGAAUGCACCUCCAGAACAAAUUAAGUUUGUAACCAGAGGUACCACUGUAGUCCAUCUUACAAACAUUCUUAUUAAUUAAUUCUUGUUAUAUUUAAUGGCAGCCAGCACAUAUAUACCUACAAUACAGAUAACUUGCUGGAAUUUAAUCCAAUUUCUGCUGGUUUGUCCAGUUUACAUAAUAAUUCGAAACAGGCUAAAGAAAGCUUAGCCCAAUGUUUUAAUUGAUGGGCUAUUUGAACAAAUAGGUUCCCACCCACCCACAGCUAUAUUCUCACCAGUACAGAACCUUAGUUUGUAUCAGAUAAGAAGUUAACACUCAUCCAGUGCUGUAGAAAGAAAUUGCUGCAGUCUUCAUAAAGUGAAAGCUCUUCUUACAAACAACUUUGGAAGUUAUAUCAAGUAAUUCUCCAGUGCACGCUUAAACAUAAACAGCCUGUACCAUGGUGCUAUUUUUACUUCCACCAGUAGAGAUAGAUCUUGCUAGAUAAACAUGUCUGUUGUUCUCCUUUUAAACUCUGUUUAUUUCUGCCAGCAGUUCAAGUCCAGCAAAGCAUGCUAGUGAGAGUUCAUGCAAAUGAAUCUGAGUGAUUUCCUAAAUCCAAGUAGGCACCUCAGAGCAAGUAAUCUAUAAAUGUUCCCUGAGACAAAUUUUAGGGAGUCCAUCGGUUGUCAUGUUCAUAAUUUUAAUCCAAUACAGUAAUUAAAUAGAACCCUGCUAUUCAGUUAUACAGUUACUCAGUUUAGAAAUAUUAUUUUGGGACUGUUUGGAACUUUAACGUCCCAGAAUCAUUUGUUCCAUAUCCAAAUUUAACUAUUUCACUGUUCUGACUGACUCCAGUUACUGUGUGAAUAAGUAACACUAUUCCUAUUACAGUUUCCUGGUGUUUGCCUUCCUCACUUCUUUUCAGUGAAGCACCUUAAGCCUCUGAAAAGGAUCUUAAGGUUUGGGAGAAGAUAACCUGGUUCCAAUCUGUUAAUUGUUGUUGUUAUUAUUGUCAUUUAUUAAGGGCUAUCAACUUACCCUCAUACAACAUUAGUAAAAAUACAACCUCCAUCUUGAGCAGGCACCCCAAACUUGGCCUUCCAGAUGUUUUGGGACUACAACUCCCAUCAUCCCUAGCUAACAGGACCAGUAGUCAGGGAUGAUGGGAAUUGUAGUCCCAAAACAUCUGGAGGGCCGAGUUUGGGGGUGCCUGAUCUUGAGGAACUUACAGUAUAAGUGUUGUGUGGGGUGGGGGCAGCAGAGGGAGUUGAGGGGAGAAAGACAGAUUAAAGGACAGUGGGUGCACAUUUGGAAAAGCAAUUAAGCAUAGUGUCAGUAGUUGAUGAAGAUUAAAGGGUUACAUUAACAAUAUUCCAGGAAGAGGUGGGACUUGAGGAAAGCUUUUACCUGUGGCACCACAUCAUCACUCAGCGAGGGCAUUCUGGAAAGAAGGAUAGGAAGAGAGAAUUGGUGGCAUCCGAGCAGGAAACAUUCAAGUGGCUUCUAAAUGUUCUUUUUUCCGUUUUUCUUUUUUCUUUUUUUACAAAGCUCUUCAGCAGAAAAAAAUAUAUUUUAGGUAUGGGGAUCUCUCCAGUAUCUUCUGUUGUGCAAAGAAUUUUUAUUCCUAGCCUUUCCCUAUCUUUUUCAGUAUCCCUUUUCAGUACCCCUCCCUGUAUGCUCAUGUUUCCGCUGUGGCUCCAAC